GGUAAAAUGACGAGCGUAGACGUGAUUUAUGAAAAUAUUCACUUCAGGCACGAUCCGAAAUGGUCUGUUCGUGUUCGCAUGGGUCACCCGGACCAGAGCGGCUUGAUGAUCUGCGUCGCUUGUGUCAUUGAGAUGAUGGAAAGCAACAACGUUGUCGUAUGAUUUCUAACUAUUGAACAUGUUUUAUUGACCACAUAUUGGUAUUUCUGCUACAACAGCUAACAUGACAUGAGCUGCCAUCAACCCUUAUAUGCAUUUGGCUACCCCUGUGGUUCCAUCAUUUGUUUUACUCUUCUGUGAGAAAGUCUGUGGCGCUGUCAGGGAUCAGUAGGGUCCUGAAGAGCUGUCCUGGGGCUCUGAAGGAGCUGCUACUACAGGACCACAGGGUCUGUCUGCAUUUCACAGCGUUUUUACUGGGGAUGCUUCACACAGUAGAGGACCCAGCCACUCUGGAGCAGGCCAUACAGGUGCUGGUUCAGCUGCUCUUGGAGUUACAGAGUGAACAGUAUGCGCGCUACAUCCUGGAUGAGAUACACACACACCUGUGUGACCAGUCCAGUGUGAGGGGUUUCCUGCCCACCUUCACCUUCUUGGGGAAGCUGGUAGAUGCUGUUCCUUCCCUGCACAGAGCCUGGCCUCCAGCCAUGGUGAGACAGUAUACCACACCAACACCAUCUCUCACUAAGCUCACAUUAAAAUACUCUUCAUCUCCUUUGUGCUACCUAUUGAGUGUCUACAUUCGUUCACCCUCAAUGCGUUCUCUGCCAUAUUUCUUUUACCACCAUUACCUGUGUAAUGACCAGGUACUUGGUCGAUUAGUAAUUUGUAUCUUAACUUAG
rnacentral:lncRNA from 8 species